AUGGAGUCCUGUAACUGCAUUGAGCCACAAUGGCCUGCUGAUGAGUUGUUGAUGAGAUAUCAAUAUAUCUCAGAUUUCUUUAUAGCGCUUGCUUACUUUUCCAUCCCAUUGGAGUUAAUCUAUUUUGUCAAAAAAUCUGCUGUGUUUCCUUAUAGAUGGGUGCUUGUGCAGUUUGGUGCAUUUAUAGUUCUUUGUGGAGCUACGCAUCUUAUAAAUUUGUGGACCUUUACCAUGCACUCAAGAACUGUGGCCAUAGUCAUGACAGCGGCAAAAGUUUUGACGGCUGCCGUGUCAUGUGCGACAGCUCUAAUGCUCGUACACAUUAUACCUGACUUAUUAAGUGUCAAAACAAGGGAACUAUUUUUGAAAAAUAAGGCUGCAGAGCUAGAUCGAGAAAUGGGCCUAAUUCGUACACAGGAAGAAACUGGAAGACAUGUUAGAAUGUUAACUCAUGAAAUAAGAAGCACUCUUGAUAGACAUACUAUCCUAAAGACUACGCUUGUUGAGUUGGGCAGAACUUUAGCCUUGGAAGAGUGCGCAUUAUGGAUGCCAACACGCAGUGGAGUAGAGCUUCAACUGUCAUAUACUCUUCGUCACCAAAAUCCUGUUGGAUUUACUGUACCUAUACAGCUUCCUGUGAUUAAUCAAGUUUUUAGUACAAACCGUGCAGUAAAAAUAUCACCAAAUUCUCCUGUAGCAAAACUCCGACCUUCUGGAAAGUACAUGCAAGGAGAGGUUGUCGCUGUGCGUGUUCCCCUCCUGCAUCUCUCUAAUUUUCAAAUAAAUGAUUGGCCAGAGCUGUCAACAAAGCGCUAUGCCCUCAUGGUAUUGAUGCUUCCUUCAGAUAGUGCAAGGCAAUGGCAUGUCCAUGAGUUGGAGCUUGUGGAAGUAGUUGCCGAUCAGGUAGCAGUAGCUCUCUCACAUGCAGCAAUUUUGGAAGAGUCAAUGAGGGCUAGGGAUCUUCUUAUGGAUCAAAAUGUUGCCCUUGAUCUGGCAAGAAGAGAAGCAGAAACAGCUGUUCGUGCUCGUAAUGACUUCUUGGCUGUUAUGAAUCAUGAAAUGAGAACACCCAUGCAUGCAAUUAUUGCACUUUCGUCUCUACUUCAGGAGACUGAACUAACGCCCGAGCAACGCUUGAUGGUUGAAACAAUUCUCAAAAGUAGCAACCUUCUGGCUACUCUUAUCAACGAUGUCUUAGAUCUUUCAAGGCUUGAGGAUGGUAGUCUUCAACUUGACAUAGAACCUUUUGAUCUUCAUGGUCUCUUCAAGGAGGUUAUUAACUUGAUAAAACCUAUCGCAUCUGUCAAAAAGUUGUUUGUCACACUGAGUAUGUCAUCUGAUUUGCCAGAGUAUGCGAUUGGUGAUGAAAAGCGGCUGAUGCAGAUCAUGUUAAAUGUUGUUGGCAAUGCUGUGAAAUUCUCAAGAGAGGGUGGCAUCUCAAUUUCUGCAUCUGUUGCAAAAUCUGAUUCUUUAAGAGAUCCUCGAGCUCCUGAUUUUUUCCCUGUGCUCAGUGAUAAUCACUUUUAUCUGCGUGUCCAGGUAAAAGACACAGGAUCAGGAAUUAGCCCCCAAGAUAUUCCUAAGCUAUUUACAAAAUUUGCACAGAGCCAGUCAUUAGCAGCUAAAAAUUCUGGUGGUAGUGGUCUUGGUCUUGCAAUUUGUAAGAGGUUUGUUAAUCUCAUGGAUGGGCACAUUUGGCUUGAAAGUGAAGGUCUUGGCAAGGGAUGUACUGCUAUCUUUAUGGUAAAACUUGGACUACGUGGGCGUUCAAAUGAAGCUAAGCUCCAAUACGUGUCCAGAGCCCCUGUAAAUCAUGUACGGACAAAUUUUACCGGGCUCAAGGUCAUUGUAAUGGAUGAUAACGGGUUGGUUGAUUCUGUACCCUUUUAACCUCUAUUGAUAUCUAAGGGAAGUUAUAAGCCAUCUGAUAUUUAUAGUAGUUAGAGUCUUGGUAGGCUAUUAUAGGGCUAAACUUUAACAAGAUCUGAUGUCUAGGCGGUGAGGUGGGCAUAGACUGGGGAAACAGAAACAAACUCAUUGAAGCACAGAUUCACAAUAUAUUGUCUUAUAUGGCAUUCGGUAAGAAUGCAGGGAAAAGGAACGAUCUUAAAUCUUAGAAUCAUUGAAGUUGCAAAAAAUUCCACAUCUUUGUGUCAACAAAUCACAGUUAUUGCGUGACAUGUCAAGAAGAUGUCAAGAGUCAGGUUUCAGCAGCUGAGUAGUUGUGGCUAAAUUAGCAACUUUUUCUUGGAGAGAAGGUUGUACGAUUUGUUACUGAUGAUGGUUACGAAGAUUAGCAAUAUAAUGUGCUUCCUUUUGGUAUUUGUGACCGACACUUUUUUUUUUUUGCGACCAACUGUUAUUGAGAUUUAAUUGUUAUUACUUCCUCAAUUUGGUCUUUAGCUCCAUGUAAUCCAUUGAGUUCACAAUUUUAUGCUUUUGGCUAUGGCCUGUUAGCAAGUCUACCCCUGUUGUUAUCCUUGACAUUAGCUUCUAUUAAAUGUAGAGAAGACUUUUGUUCCUAAAAUUUUCAAUAGCAGUAAUAUUGGUAAAAAUCAAUAUGGCAUAUGUAUAGGAUUCACUUUUAAACUCAGCAUACUAGAUGGUUGGUUAUCAGAGGCCUUGGCAUGAUGCUGGCUUUGCUUUUGAAUCUUAUUUUUGUGCACCUGGAGAGUGAAAUUGGCAAACUUAAUUGCUGCUUGUGUUAUGGGUGAGCUUUAGGUUGGUGGUCCCUGGACUGGAGAAUUUUCCAGCUAAUCUUCAUCACUUGGGGUCUUUGUUUCUUUUUUAAGUUUUCAUAUUGAGAAAAGGAAGGGUUCAUAAAUCUUGGACUUAGUCUUGUCCGAAUUCCACAACAUCAUUGGCUUCAUAAAUAAAUAUCAAGGUGGGUCAGUUAUGCAUCUGUAAUUAUCUGUCUAUCAUUGGUCCUGAUGCAGGGUUAGCAGGAUGGUGACCAAGGGGCUGCUUGUGCAUCUAGGUUGUGAUGUUGCAACUGUCAGCUCUGGAGACGAGUGCUUGAAAGUAGUUAAUAAUGAGCACAAGGUGGUAUUCAUGGAUGUGAGCAUACCCGGUAUAGACAUUUAUGCAGUUGCAGUCAGGAUACAUGAAAAAUUUGCAAGACGUCGUGAUAGGCCACUCAUUGUGGCCUUGACAGGAAACACAGACAGGGUGACAAAGGAGAGCUGCAUGAGAGUUGGUAUGGAUGGAGUGAUACUAAAGCCUGUUUCUGUAGAUAAAAUGAGAAGUGUCCUGUCUGAACUUCUAGACCACGGAGUUCUGCUGGAGGCUCAAUAACCAGAACAGAACUGCAUUCAGUAUGAAGCAGCAAUAAGGCAGCUGGUAUACCCUACAGGAGUUGCUUGUACAUACAAGACAGACAUUGCCGCCUUGAGAUUGGAGCAGUGGUGCUAAAAGGGUUGCACACAUAAUGGGAUAUGCUUGGUUGUACAAGUGAUUGCAGGGUCAUUGAUAUAGCGAACAUUGGACAAACUCACAGAAAUUUUUUCCCCCUCCCCAAGUACUGUGGAUGCUUUGUUCAUGUACUACUUAAAUUUGUCACAUGGUGUAGUAUAAUUCUGCUUUGACAAAUCAAAGUUGUAUAAAUAAUUUUGGACACUCUACAGAUAAUAACCUCCAUAUUAGCAGCUAUAACUUUUGGUGCAGCAAACAAGCUCAAUCGUGCAAGACUAGUUCACUGCAAUAAGGAGCUUGAUUGGUGCGGUGCAUCUUCAAGCUCUAUUGAAGGAGAUGAUUUUUGCAACAAAAUGUACCAUUUCUAGUGAAGACGCUUCAAAUGCUGAUGUUCUGGAGCAGAGGAGGUGAUGCAUUGGUAGUUGCCUGGGAUGCUUAAAAUAUGUUUCAUGCCCGAGAGCUAUUAGCAGAAAGCUCAGCAAUUCUGUCCUUUUUACGUAGCAGUUCACUGGCUAUAGUGCGUAGGAUGGUACGAGCCUGAAGAGGACGGUCUGACUAGCUGAAAUGUCUAACAAGUUGAAGAAAAGUUGGAACAUGAGGUUCAUGAGGGAAACCACCAGCUCUUGGGCUGGUGGUCACCACCAAGCCCUUAAGGCUUUGGUGGGGUGGGAGGCAAGGUUUUGGUGGGGUGGACCUUGCCUCUCACCAAAAUGCUACUCUUGUGGCUCUGCUUCAAAUGAGGUUCACGAGGGACAUUGAUUGACAGUGAAUUUUGAGAAAAAGACAAUUCUCUGCGUGCAAGCAAUAAACGUAUUCUUGCUCUUA